AUGCUUAAUUUGUGCAGCACAAAUGUGGUUCCUAGUUGGAUGCCUCAGAUUGGUAUGAAGUUUAAUUCCACAAAAGUGCCUUGGAACUUUUGGACAUGUUAUGGAGGUCAUACUGGUUUUGAUGUAAGGGUAAAUUAUGAAAACAAGAGCAAACUUGACGGAGUAAUCACUUCUGCAAGAUAUGUUUGUUCUAAUGAAGGGUACAGAAGAAAGGACAAAAGGGAUAAUAAUACAAAGCGUCCUCGUGCAGAAACAAGGACCGGCUGCAAUGUUCGAAUGGGAAUCACUAUAGACCGAGAAGCAGAAAAUUAUGAGGUGCACGAGUUAGUUGUUGAACACAACCAUGUCUUGCAAUUACCUGGGACAAGCCACUUGAUGCCGUCACAACGGAAGAUUUCGGCCUUACAAGCAUUUGAAAUUGAAACAGCAGAUGAUUCAGGAAUUGUACCUAAAAGAGCCCAUGAGUUAGCAAGUCGACAAGUUGGUGGUCCCCUGAACCUUGGCUACACAUGUCGUGAUCGCAAGAACCACUUGUGA
rnacentral:rRNA from 1 species